GGCCAUUGCUGCUACGCCGCCUGGUGGAUGGCUCGGCUCGGGCGCCGAGGAAGGGGGUGGCAAGCUGCCAUAAGCCCCGGGGAGCCGCAUGCGGGCUUAGAUCCGGGGAUCCCCGAAUGGCAAUGCCGCCCUUAAUGGGCGCUCCGAUGAGGAGCGGGAACCCCCCGAACUGAAGCAUCUCAGUAGGGGGAGGAAGAGGAAUCAAAAAGAGAUGCCCUGAGUACCGGCGAGGGAAAGGGGCAGAGCCCAAACCGAACGUCCCCUUGUAAAAGGGGACGGAUGUGGUGUUGCGGGGCAGCCUAAUGCCCCCACCACGGGGAAGCCGAAGUGAGCUGGAACGCUCCGCCAUAGAGGGUGAGAGCCCCGUAGGCGCAACCUGUGGUGGAGGUUGGCUGUUCCCUGAGUACCGCGGGUUGGAAUACCCGUGGGAACUGGGGGUCACCGACCUCCAAGGCUAAACACGUCCCGAGACCGAUAGCGCACUU
rnacentral:rRNA from 1 species